GGGGGUACAGCUUAGUGGUAGAGCAUUCAUCUACAGAUCGAGAGGUCACCGGUUUUAACCCGGGUGCCCCUU